AUUGAACGCUGGCGGCAUGCUUUACACAUGCAAGUCGAACGGCAGCUCGGGCUUCGGCCUGGCGGCGAGUGGCGAACGUGUGAGUAAUACAUCGGAACGUGCCCCGUAGUGGGGGAUAGCUCGGCGAAAGCCGGAUUAAUACCGCAUACGACCUGAGGGUGAAAUCGGGGGAUCUUCGGACCUCGCGCUAUUUGAGCGGCCGAUGGCAGAUUAGCUAGUUGGUGGGGUAAAGGCCUACCAAGGCGACGAUCUGUAGCUGGUCUGAGAGUACGACCAGCCACACGGGGACUGAGACACGGCCCAGACGCCUACGGGAGGCAGCAGUGGGGAAUUUUGGACAAUGGGCGAAAGCCUGAUCCAGCAAUGCCGCGGGUGUGAUGAAGGCCUUCGGGUUGUAAAGCACUUUUGGCGGGAACGAAAAGGACUGUGCAAAUACCACGGUUCGAUGACGGUACCCGCAGAAUAAGCACCGGCUAACUACGUG
rnacentral:rRNA from 1 species